UAUUUAAUUAAAGUUUCGAUUGUUUGUUGAAAAUUCCAUUUCUAGUCAUGUGCAAGACACACACACACUGCAUAUAUAUGCAUGUCAACUUGUAAUUGGAUAAUUAUUUUGAGCUGGAACAUUAAUAUUUGUUAAAAGAUCCCCAUGACUCUUCUUUUCCUUUCGAUGAUCCCUUGGUUGGUCUUCCUUCAGCCAGCAGCCAAAAGGGAACUUGAUUAUAAAAUCCCACUUCCCAACUACAUAAGUACGUGGCCUUUUUGCAUCCACGGAUCAGCAGCAUGAGCUGGUAUUGUUAGGCAGCCAUUGCUGAUAACAUGAAUGCAUACGUCACUGAUCAUAAUAUCUCUUAACAUAGUCAGCCCCAUUUCCCCUAUCACAUAGUCAACCCCAAGCCAGCCGGCCCCCUCCGAAACGCAAAACGGCACCGUUUUAACCAAAAAAUAAAAAAACCCUAGUGGUACACUAUAAAACCAUCCUUAUACAGUCCGCGCCCCACUUGGUCUUCUUCCAGAUUUUUCAGCUCUGCCUCUCUCUCUCUCAUCCUACGGUUCAGUCUUCAGCUCCUCUCCUCAUUCUACCUCCCGCUUUUUUUAUCUCUCUCUCUCUCUCUCUCUCUGUUUUAGUCUUUUAAUCCUUAUAAGUUUGUCGCAAUUUUUUUUUAAACAUACAAAUCUGAGGUUGUGGUUUUAAGAUCUGCACAAAAAAAAAAAAAAAAAAAAUUGUUCCCUUUCAUCUAUAUUGGCUUUGUGUUUUUGGUUCGUAUAAUUUUUUUUUUUCCUUGCCUCUGAUUUGAUCUAUUUUUCAGAUGUGUAGAAUUUUUUGUUUUUUCUUGCGGCUUGAGUUGGUCUACUUUUCGUAUGGUGGAUAUUUUUUUUUCCUGCCGUAUCAAUUGAUCUUCUUUCCAGAUCUGCAAAAUAUUUUUUUUCUUUUUGCGUUACAUUUAUAUUCGCUUCUACACGUCUCAUCUGUGUAGAAGUUUUUUUUCCUUGUCUGAGUUGAUAUAGUUUCAUAUCUGGAGAAUGAAUUUUUUUCCUUGCGUUUCAUGUAUACUCACUUUUGAUAUGUUGACAUAUGUAGAAGGAAAUUUGUUUUCCCGUCCGUUUGAUUUCUUCUAUUUUUAUUUGUUGUUGUUUGGCGUUUGAUGUAAAUUAGAUUUGUAUUCUUCAGAUCUGAACAACAAUUUUUUUUUCUUUCGAUCUAUGUUCCUAGGGUUCAUCUGUUUUCGAUUCAAGUUUUUUUUUUUCUUGCCUUUCAUUCCUACUAUUUUUUUUUUCUUGUUGGGUGUUUGAUGUAUAUUAGUUGUCUUUUUCAGAUCUGCAUAGCAAAAUUUUUUUUCCUUCUGAUCUUUAGCCUAGAGCAGUCUUUGUUCCAUGUACCUCACGCUCACAUGCUCUCUCCCUCACGACUUUUCCACCACCUUCGUGCUUCUGUGGAGCCACCGUCCACAACCCUUCAUUUUUCUUCUUCCCCUCUUCUCUUUUAGUCACCGUGGGUGCUUUCUCACCAUGGCCACACCCACAACAAAAUCAUCAUCGCUUUAACCACGUAGGGUUUUCUGUUGUUUGUCUUUAGGUUCUGUUUCUUUUGUUGGGUUGUGACCCGGUGGCCCUCUUGCCGCCAUCAUGUCAAGGUCACACGGCAUCACCGUAUGGUUGGGUGCAUCGUGGUUAGACAGCACGGCAAUCAGUUUUGGAUUCUAUCCAGACAAGAGUGGGAGUUGAUGGAUCUGAGGGACAAAUGAGAGGAAAGAGAUGUAAAGAGAGAUCAUCCAUGCGAGGGAAGAGAAAGGGACUACAGGCGUCAGGCUUGGGGAGGAGGAAGUACUUGGUGGUGGAAGAGACCAGAUAAGACCAUAUGUGCGUAGGAUUAUUUUUGAAAUUUUAUUUUGGAAUGAGUUUUUUUUUUUUUUUUUUAUUGUUGAAAGGGAGUUUUUUUUUUUUUUUUUGACUUUCUCGGUUGCAUUUGUUGUUUGGGUGGGUUUAUUUCACCAUCUCGUGUGUAUUAAGGAACUUUGUUUGAGUUUUUUUUUUUUUGAUGGCAUAUUAUUGGGUUUCUCGGUUGUAUUUGUUGUUUGGUGGAGGAACUUUUAUUUCUUAUGGUUAUUUUUCGAUUUUUAGGUUGGAUCUAUUAUUUAUUGGCUGUCAAGGUGAGGAAUAACUUGGCUUUAUUUUUUCACUGUUAA